rnacentral:rRNA from 1 species
AGUGAACGCUGGCGGUAGGCCUAACACAUGCAAGUCGAACGGCAGCACAGUAAGAGCUUGCUCUUACGGGUGGCGAGUGGCGGACGGGUGAGGAAUACAUCGGCAUCUACUUUUUCGUGGGGGAUAACGUAGGGAAACUUACGCUAAUACCGCAUACGACCUACGGGUGAAAGCAGGGGAUCUUCGGACCUUGCGCGAUUGAAUGAGCCGAUGUCGGAUUAGCUAGUUGGCGGGGUAAAGGCCCACCAAGGCGACGAUCCGUAGCUGGUCUGAGAGGAUGAUAGGCCACACUGGAACUGAGACACGGUCCAGACUCCUACGGGAGGCAGCAGUGGGGAAUAUUGGACAAUGGGCGCAAGCCUGAUCCAGCCAUACCGCGUGGGUGAAGAAGGCCUUCGGGUUGUAAAGCCCUUUUGUUGGGAAAGAAAAGCAGCAGGUUAAUACCCCGCUGUUCUGACGGUACCCAAAGAAUAAGCACCGGCUAACUUCGUG